UGCCAGCAGCCGCGGUAAUACGGGGGGGGCGAGCGUUGUUCGGAAUUAUUGGGCGUAAAGGGUGCGUAGGCGGUGUGGUAAGUCUGAUGUGAAACCUCCAGGCUCAACUUGGAGCUGGCAUCAGAAACUGCCGUGCUAGAGUGCGGGAGAGGAGAGUGGAAUUCCUGGUGUAGCGGUGAAAUGCGUAGAUAUCAGGAGGAACACCGGUGGCGAAAGCGGCUCUCUGGACCGCAACUGACGCUGAGGCACGAAAGCUAGGGGAGCAAACAGGAUUAGAUACCCUGGUAGUCCUAGCCUUAAACGAUGAACACUUGGUAUAGCGGGUAUCGAAUCCCGCUGUGCCGGAGCUAACGCAUUAAGUGUUCCGCCUGGGGAGUACGGUCGCAAGGCUAAACUCAAAGAAUGACGG
rnacentral:rRNA from 1 species